rnacentral:rRNA from 1 species
GGAAUCCGCUUAAGACAUGCGAGUCGAGAGGGUUCGGCCCUCGGCAUACUGCUCAGUAACACGCGGACAAUCUGCCCUAAGGUGGGGGAUAAUCUCGGGAAACUGAGCAUAAUACCCCAUAGGUCACGGAUGUUGGAAUGCUUCGUGGUCCAAAGCUCCGGCGCCUUAGGAUGAGUCUGCGGCCUAUCAGGUUGUAGUUGGUGUAACGGACCAACUAGCCAACGACGGGUACGGGCGUUGGGAGACGUCGCCCGGAGAUGGAUUCUGAGACACGAAUCCAGGCCCUACGGGGCGCAGCAGUCGCGAAAACUUGUCAAUGGGGGAAACCCCGAACAGGGGAGUCCAAGUGCAUGCGCUUUGCGUAUGCUGUUCAGCUGCCUAAAAAGCAGCCGAAGGAAGGGCUGGGUAAGACAGGUGCCAGCCGCCGCGGUAAUACCUGCAGCCCGAGUGGUGAUCGAUAUUAUUGAGCCUAAAGCGUCCGUAGCCGGACCGGUAAACCCUUGGGUAAAUCGGGCAGCUCAACUGUCCGAAUUCCGAGGGGACUGCCGGUCUUGGGACCGGGUGAGGUCAGAGGUACUCCAGGGGUAGGGGCUAAAUCCUGUAAUCCUUGGGGGACCACCAGUGGCGAAGGCGUCUGACUAGAACGGAUCCGACGGUAAGGGACGAAACCCUGGGUCGCAAACCGGAUUAGAUACCCGGGUAGUCCAGGGCGUAAACGCUGCAGGCUUGGUGUUGGGGAUCCUACGAGGAUGUCCAGUGCCGGAGUGAAGAUGUUAAGCCUGCCGCUUGGGGAGUACGUCCGCAAGGAUGAAACUUAAAGGAAUUGGCGGGAGAGCACAG